GUGCUUAUGUGUUUAAAUGUGUAUCACUCGUUAUUUUUAUUUUUUUUAUGAAUAAGAUUAUUCAUGUGUUGAGAUAUAGUGUAUAUGAAGAAGUAUUGGUGCAGUGUUGUGAAUGCAUCCAGUUGUUAUGUGAUAUUUCUAGAAACGUAGCCCAGAUUUGCCUAUAGGGACUGAUCACCCCAGAGUUGGUUGAAAAGAGGGGGUUUUCUAGAAAAUUUGGUGGAAUAUUGUGAUAUUUCCAAGGUAGUUAAUAAUUAUAGUUGCAGCGUCAACAGAAAUUAUUAUUUGAUGUUAAAGUGAUACUGUGUUUUUG
rnacentral:lncRNA from 1 species